rnacentral:misc_RNA from 1 species
AAAAAAAAAAAAAAGAAAUAAAUAAAUCUAGCGGAGUAUCCCAUCAAAAAUUGAUAUGCAUGCAUCUACAAAUUAAAAUGCCAAAUGUAAACAUUCAUAAACUAACUUUUUUUUUUUGCAGUAUUUAUUAGUUACCUGUGUGAUACCGAAAGCAAGGAAUAAAAUAACAAGAGAUAGUGAUUAAAAGACAGUGAGACAAACUGUAGUUCCAAUAAAAAAAAG